rnacentral:rRNA from 1 species
AACGAACGCUGGCGGCAUGCCUAACACAUGCAAGUCGAACGAGACCUUCGGGUCUAGUGGCGCACGGGUGCGUAACGCGUGGGAAUCUGCCCUUGGGUUCGGAAUAACAGUGAGAAAUUACUGCUAAUACCGGAUGAUGUCUUCGGACCAAAGAUUUAUCGCCCAGGGAUGAGCCCGCGUAGGAUUAGCUAGUUGGUGGGGUAAUGGCCUACCAAGGCGACGAUCCUUAGCUGGUCUGAGAGGAUGAUCAGCCACACUGGGACUGAGACACGGCCCAGACUCCUACGGGAGGCAGCAGUGGGGAAUAUUGGACAAUGGGCGCAAGCCUGAUCCAGCAAUGCCGCGUGAGUGAUGAAGGCCUUAGGGUUGUAAAGCUCUUUUACCCGGGAUGAUAAUGACAGUACCGGGAGAAUAAGCUCCGGCUAACUCCG